GACAGAGGUCCCGAGCGUUAGGCGGAAUCACUGGGCUUAAAGCGUGUGUAGGCGGAUUGGUAAGUACCUUGUGAAAUCCCACGGCUUAACCGUGGAACUGCUUGGUAUACUGCUUAUCUUGGGCCACUUAGGGGCUACCGGAACAAACGGUGGAGCGGUGAAAUGCGUAGAGAUGUGGAGGAACACCGAUGGCGAAGGCAGCCCCCUGGGCUGAGAUUGACGCUCAGGCACGAAAGCGUGGGGAGCAAACAGG
rnacentral:rRNA from 1 species